rnacentral:rRNA from 1 species
UACGAAGGGGGCUAGCGUUGCUCGGAAUCACUGGGCGUAAAGGGUGCGUAGGCGGGUCUUUAAGUCAGGGGUGAAAUCCUGGAGCUCAACUCCAGAACUGCCUUUGAUACUGAGGAUCUUGAGUUCGGGAGAGGUGAGUGGAACUGCGAGUGUAGAGGUGAAAUUCGUAGAUAUUCGGAGGAACACCAGUGGCGAAAGCGGCCACCUGGACUGCACCUGACGCUGACACGCGAAAGCUAGGGGAGCGAACGGG